rnacentral:rRNA from 1 species
UACAGAGGUCUCAAGCGUUGUUCGGAUUCAUUGGGCGUAAAGAGCGUGUAGGCGGCUAGGUAGGUCCGUUGUGAAAACUCGAGGCUCAACCUCGAGACGCCGAUGGAAACCAUCUGGCUAGAGUCCGGAAGGAGGAGAGUGGAAUUCCUGGUGUAGCGGUGAAAUGCGCAGAUAUCAGGAGGAACACCGGUGGCGAAGGCGGGUCUCUGGGCCGAUACUGACGCUGAGGAGCGAAAGCGUGGGGAGCAAACAGG